UCUGACUUCUCAUACUUAACAGCUCUAGUUUUUCCCACACUAGCAACGGCCCAUAGGAGACUAAUUACACUAUAUAUAUUUUUGUUUGGCACCAAACUUGUCCUUGCUAUUGAUAUUUUUGGUCAGGCACAUUUUUGCUAUAAUGUCUGUUUUCUCCCCAAUGCAGUAUGCAGGGACAUCCUGGGAUGAACUAAAACACGUAAGACAGGCUGUCGGAUUCUUGGUAUGUCCUCUUGGUUCUUUAUCAUGGUGCAAUUCAGAUGUUGGAGAUGGCGGAAACAUAGAAACAACUGAUGUUGAUCAUGCAGAUGACAAAUGUCCACACAGAAUACUUACCAGAAAUUGUAGUGGCAUGUAGUGCUGGCAACUCAGGUCCAACUCCUUCAACUGUCACUAAUGUGGCUCCAUGGAUCAUCACUGUUGCUGCAAGUAGCAUUGAUAGAGUUUUUCCUUCACCCCUUGUGCUAGGAAAUCAAAUGAAAAUUCAGAAAUUGCCUCCCCGGUACCCUUUCACCAAAGCUUGUAAAAGGAAAGAUUGUUGUCUGUUUGGGAUUCAAUGUCCAGAGUGCUAUGGAGGUGAAAAGAGUAGGAGGUGUAGGUAUCGUCCUAGUAAACAUCUACGGGAGUGACAGUGGUAUGCCCCUUGGAGCUCAAUUACUUACAGGAACAACAGUAGGACUGAAUGACAUAGCUACAAUUGUCAAUUACACAAGGACUAAUGUGAAUCCAACGGCAACAUUAAUCCCAGGAACUACUAUUUUGGGUAGUAAACCAGCACCAUUCAUGGCUCCCUUUACCUCAUUGGGUCCAAAUGGCCUUGAACCUAAUAUUAUUAAGAUUACUGACAGGUGCGAUUCUCGCUCAUGAGUUAAUGCGUGGGUGGUUACACCUUAAAGGUACUACAUGAGUUCCUUCUGUUACUUUUCCUUUUUUCUUUGAUUGAGGGUCAUAGAAGACAUGUUGAUGCAUGACAAGAACAUUAGAGCAACUUCAUUGAUGUAGUAUUUAGGUGUAGCAGUACUAAAGAAGCACAACACAACGUAAAACACUCCGACAAUGUAGAAUAUGGUCUGCUAAAAUAGCACAUAUUUUAUACUA